AGAGUUUGAUCAUGGCUCAGGAUGAACGCUGGCGGCGUGCCUAACACAUGCAAGUCGAGCGAUCUUCUUCGGAAGAGAGCGGCGGACGGGUGAGUAACGCGUGGGUAACCUGCCUCAUACACAUGGAUAACAUACCGAAAGGUAUGCUAAUACAAGAUGAUAUAAGAGAUUCGCAUGGAUUUCUUAUCAAAGCUCCGGCGGUAUGAGAUGGACCCGCGUCUGAUUAGCUAGUUGGUAAGGUAACGGCUUACCAAGGCGACGAUCAGUAGCCGACCUGAGAGGGUGAUCGGCCACAUUGGAACUGAGACACGGUCCAAACUCCUACGGGAGGCAGCAGUGGGGAAUAUUGCACAAUGGGCGAAAGCCUGAUGCAGCAACGCCGCGUGAGCGACGAAGGCCUUCGGGUCGUAAAGCUCUGUCCUCAAGGAAGAUAAUGACGGUACUUGAGGAGGAAGCCCCGGCUAACUACGUGCCAGCAGCCGCGGUAAUACGUAGGGGGCUAGCGUUAUCCGGAUUUACUGGGCGUAAAGGGUGCGUAGGUGGUUUCUUAAGUCAGGAGUGAAAGGCUACGGCUCAACCGUAGUAAGCUCUUGAAACUGGGAAACUUGAGUGCAGGAGAGGAAAGUGGAAUUCCUAGUGUAGCGGUGAAAUGCGUAGAUAUUAGGAGGAACACCAGUAGCGAAGGCGGCUUUCUGGACUGUAACUGACACUGAGGCACGAAAGCGUGGGGAGCAAACAGGAUUAGAUACCCUGGUAGUCCACGCUGUAAACGAUGAGUACUAGGUGUCGGGGGUUACCCCCCUCGGUGCCGCAGCUAACGCAUUAAGUACUCCGCCUGGGGAGUACGCUCGCAAGAGUGAAACUCAAAGGAAUUGACGG
rnacentral:rRNA from 1 species